ACAUUGAGCCUAUAUCUCACUUGGAGAAUCUGUGAAGGAUAUAGUUAAGACAUUUUUUACCAGGCUUCACUGGCUCAUCUUACCAAAACUGUGGACAUGGGAAGGGACCAAAGCCACCUCUGAAUUGAUGGGUCCGAGUUCAGUUCCUGAGAGUUAUUUGUCAAUCAAUGGCUUACUUUCAGAUCCUCUAUGAUCCAGUGACCUGCUAUGUUUGCAGUCAAUGCAGGCCUAAAAGCAAUCACUGCAUGCAAGUUGGCAAUAACUAGAAGUUUUCAAACUUGGGAGCCUACUGUAACCCUGCUCCAACUUAGUUAGUGUUCCCUCCUUGCGUUCUUUUAUCAGUUUUCUUCUAAUCCUUUCUAUGCCUUAAAAGGUCCAAUUCAUCUGCAUUCUCGACUGCCUAUUUCCAUGCUCCAGCAAAUCUUCCAUGAACCUAAUCCUCAAAUUUCCAGAGGACUGAGUCCCAUCUUGGAAGGAGAGUAACCCAUAAUUUGAGGUGCCUACCGGCUACCAGCCACAUAAAUCUAGCAUGCACCUGCAAUGCUUAGCUCGAUCAUCACUUCAAUCUCAGAGCUCAUAUUUCUGGGCAUGAAAACGUAUGAAAUUUGAUUAUGGUUCCAUGAACCUUUCAAAUGUUUUCAAACGCUAGUUUUCCAGCAUGCUUGAGUGAAAAAAUUGCAAGUACCAAGGCCUCCUAUGAAUGGAAGAUGAGACAAUGGAGUUGGAGAGUGGAUCCUGUAACAAGCCUCUAGACCUAGGGCUUGAACCUGGGUUCUGAAUUCGAUGAAAGACUAGUUGAGUUGAGCGUUGA